rnacentral:rRNA from 1 species
GACGGAGAUAGCCUCGGGAAACUGAGGGUAAGAUCCGAUAGAUGACGAUUGCUGGAAUGCUUUGUCAUCGAAAGGCAACACAAUAGGAUGGGGCUGCGGUGGAUUAGGUAGUUGGCGGGGUAAAGGCCCACCAAGCCUAUGAUCCAUAUGGGCCUUUAGCGAGGAAGCCCAGAGAGGGAAUCUGAGACACUAUUCCCAGCCCUACGGGGUGCAGCAGUCGGGAAACUUCUGCAAUGCGCGUAAGCGUGACAGAGCAAGCCAACGUGAUGUUCUAUUUUUGAACAUCUUUUGUGUGCUGUAAAAAGGCAUACGAAUAAGGACUGGGAGAGACGGGCGCCAGCCGCCGCGGUAAUCCCCGCAGUCCAAGUCGCAGCCACAUUUGUUGGGUCUAAAACAUCCGUAGCGCGCUUCGUAAGUCACUCGUGAAAUCUCAUCUCUCAAGGAUGAAAGUGCGAGUGAUACUGCGGAGCUUGAGACCGGAAGGCGCAUCAAGUACGUCGGGAGUACCGGUAAAAUGGGUUGAUCCUCGACGGACUAACAACCGCGAAGGCAUGAUGCGAGCACGGAUCUGACCGUGAGGGAUGAAGGCUAGGGGCGCAAAGUGGAUUAGAUACCCAUGUAGUCCUAGCAGUAAACACUGCACACUGAACAUUGGGGCCUCUUCGAGAGGUCUCAGUGCUGUAGGGAAGCCGGAGAGUGUGCUACCUGGGAAGUAUAGUCGCAAGAUCGAAACUUAAAGGAAUUGGCGGGGGAGCACAAAGGG